UUUGUUUUGGUUCGCACGUUCGGCUGAUGCCGUGUUCGCCUCGAACGACUGCGACCUUGUUAAGUCAGUAACCAGCAACAGCGACGGUUUAUCAGUUUCAUCCGAUUCGCAGAGCGGCAUGCAUUACUUUUCGUUUCGUUUCACAGACUUUUACAUAUUGUUCAUUACUUUUGUUACUUUAUAUUAUAUUGUAUCAUAUUAUAUUACUAUUUCGCUGAAUACGCAAGUACACGCUGUGCUGUAAUUGUUCAGUUGAAACUGCAAGAACAUGGAAUCUGUCGAGUCUGGAAGAAACGCCAGAGGAGAGGCGAGCGAGGAGAAGGCGCCAUUGCGAUCCGCAUUGGCCAGAACCGGAAACAAAACGACCCGGGCACCGAAGAAGAGCGUGACUUUUUACAUCAACGGUCGGCACCUCACGGCUCGAUACGACUUUCGUAUACGGUCCGGCGAAAAGUCGCGGGCGGCAAACAAAAGCGCGCGCCGCUGCCAGCACAAAAGAUUAAGUGGAGAGAGAGAAAGAGAGAGGCUCGAGAGACGCGUAUGUAAUCGCGCUGCCUCAGCGCCGGCGAGAUAAAGGAAAAGGAAUUAAGAGAAACACGCGGGGGCCAUUUUCGCUAGCGAGCGCGGCCGAGGGAAAAUGCUUUUGUUUGAUCUUAAUUGCGUGACUAGUCGCGUUACACCUUCUCCGUCUUAUCUCCGCCUUCUUCUCGCUAUCCGCGCCAGGUUCUUGUCUCCGCGCUGUUUAAAAAUCGCGAAUUUCCGCUCGCUAAUUUGUUUUCUGCAGGCUGCCUCAUCUAAAAGAUCAUCUCGUUAUCUUCUCUGAUUUUAAUUGCGAGAUAAGCGCCUUUCUAGGUAGCAAUUUAUUCAAUGAUUUUCCAGAAAGUUUCGCAUUGUUAUCAACAGACUACGGGCCUUUGUGCAAAAUACAAAUUCUCCGCGUCUGUUGCAAAAAGUACCAGUAAUUAAAAGUUGCAUCCUUUUUCAUUCGACGUCGCAAAUGCUCAUUUCUCGCAUAAAUGCAAAACGAAACUCCGCGGUCUGGUUACCGAAAAUAGCGACGAGAAAAUUGCCUGACAUUUGAGCCGUUCAUUUUGAAAGUGGCAUAAGUCACUUUGUUUUUAAGUCGAUAUACUUAAGAGUUUGCGUUUUAACACGUUUAGAGACGUUUCAAUCGAUAACAUUUGCGAAGAAAAAACGUGUCUUCGGUUUCCCGCUCGCUCCAUCAUGCGAAAUAGAAGCUUCGAGCUCUUUCAUGCGAAUCCGGGUUCGCUGUUCGAUCGUUCGUUUCGACGGAACUAUGACAAUUUAAAUAUCAACGAUUUUGGGACAUAGGAGGGAGGAGCUGAAGAUCCGAACAAAGUGGAAAGUCUGUAAAAUAUCGCGAACGAAUUUCGUGGACGACUUUCGACGACGAUAAAAUUUCGUUCAAUUUUCCGGAUCCCUCGAAAGCGGACGCGGUAUAAUUCCCACAAACGCGUCAAACUAGAAAAUCGGUAGAACUCGGCAGGCACCGACGGAUCACCGGUCGAAUGAUCGAGGCGAAGGGGGAUCGUUAGGUUGAUGGAGACCGAGAGUGAUCGGGUUUUAGGAUCUUGUUAAAACGCGACACGUUCGGCUUGGGUUUCUCGUGAACGGGAGAAACUAGGUGACGAAAGAGGAUGGCCGACGGGAAUUAAGAGGGUGCUCUGGUCGCGUUUUCAUGCGCGAAGCGAACGAAACGGGCGCGAGGAGGGCCCGGGCUCGCAGCGAGCUGUAAAAGAAGAUAGGAGGAAAAGGGGAGAGGGCCUUUGUUAAGCGAAAAUUGAAUGGGUAGUCGCAGAAGCCCCGGCCCCUCUCCGGCCGUUUUGUGUAACCAGCAGCAGGGGCUGAUGCUACUUUAAGCGACGACGAUCCUACUUACGAAGAUCGGUUCGAUAGCGUACGUUCGGGUGCAAUUUGUAUAAAAAUUUUGAUUGGAUCAACGCGAUUCCAACGGGACACCGGGACACCCCUCUGUUGAUAAUAUAUUUUUACAAUGAGAAGUCACGUUUCUCCCGGCCGAUUCCUCGCGAGAUAUCGGACUGCCAUAAACUCCUACCGUAUGCGUGUACGUAUGUGUGUACGUAUGUGUUUGGACAGACGCGACUCGUGAAGUAGGAUCGAUGUGUCCCCGCGUGUAUGUGUUUAAACAUAUCGUUCAAUUACAUGGACGCUUCGGGAGCCAAUCGGUGGAAGUCCACUUUCCUUUGAAAAUUAAUUACGCAAACUUUAUUGUAGGAUCUUUCGGUCGAUAAAUCAAUAUAAUGUGGUCGAUUUCUUCGUAAAUACAUAAUGUACAGCAACACAACACUUGUAUCGAUCACCGAAUGACUAAGCAAAAUGACUGCUUUUGCUUAGUCAUUCAGUGAUCGAUACUCCUUCUGCUCAGAAGGAACUGUUUUCUCUAAACAAAACAUUGGUAUUUUUCUUGUUUCUCUUUUGGUUAUCUUCAUUUGUACGUCACGUUAUGCUUUGCAUUAUCAGUAUCAAUUUUAUUCCUUUUUUAACAAAGCUAAUUUACAAAAACCACAUUUAUCUCAAUUUUCAUAUUACUGUAUUUACACCGAUUGCCUUCUGAGCGAUUCGUACGUAUCGAGCGUGAAUGUAAUAUAUGUAUAAAAAUACACGAGAUUGCAGCAGAAAACGAAUAUACAUACAAUGAUAUUUCUAUUUAAGAAAAUAUUUAUAGACAAUGGACUAGCCAUGAAUUUAGUAGCAUAAAAGUAUGUAAAGACUUUUAAGUCUGAUUUAUAAUGGAUACGAUUGUAAAUAAAAUGUAUAAGAACACG